UCGAACUCCCAACCUCAGGUGAUCCGCCUGUCUUGGCCUCUCAAGUGCUGGGAUUACAGGGGUGAGCCACCGCGCCCAGCCGGGAGCCCCUAUUUUAAGGACGCUAUUGCUGUGGAGGAGUAACCCCACUUUUAGGAAUCCUUUUCCGUGCGAAAGGCUGUUUGAGAUCAGGCGCAACAACUUCUCCCGCUCAGGUUACCCUCAGAAAGGCUAUGGACCCCGGACUCCGCCCCAGAUUGCAUAACAACUGAGGGGUGGGUCCCUAUUUCCUCUCUGGGAUCUGUAGCCAAUCAUUCACGAGGUAAACAGAACGACCGAGUUUCUCUCAGCCGAGAACUGUGGCUGCCCCUCCGGUGAAAACAGAGGAAGUGGGAGCGGCAGGAAGCGCUUUGGGACCAGGGCGACCCCUGAAGCGUAGAGGAACCAGGUCACAAGCAUACGUGAAUGCUCACAUUCCAUAGUUAUCAAAUGUAUUCAGGUUUAAAUUUUACUUUUCUAGAAAAAAUGUAAAUAAUCCGUUGAGAAUAUUUAAUGAAAAAUGUUGGUCGUAUCUUUAUCUGGUCUGCGGCUCUGUCCCUGUUUCCUGGAUAGGAGACUACGUCUGUAUCUUGUAUCACAGGAGGCACCUUCUUCCUGUUUCCUGGCACAGACUUUAAAUCUUAGUGCUCCUCACUCUUUGCGUCUACGCUGCUUUUAUGAACUGUUAACACUCACUGUGAAGGUCUGCAGCUUCACUCCUUAAGCCAGCGAGACCACAAACCCACUGGGAGGGAUAAACAACUCCAGACGGGAGGAACAAACAACUUCGGGUGCACCACCUUUAUGAACUGUAGCACUCACUGUGAAGGUCUGCAGCUUCACUCCUGAGGCCAGCAAGACCACGAACCCACCAGAAGGAACGAACAACUCCAGAUAUGCCACCUUUAAGGGCUAUAACACUCACCGCGGAAGUCUGCAGCUUCACUCCUGAAGUCAGUGAGACCAUGAACCCACCAGAAGGAAGAAACUCUGGACACAUCUGAACAUCUGAAGGAACAAACUCUGGACACACCAUCUUUAAGAACUGUAACACUCACCGCGAGGGUACACGGCUUCAUUCUUGAAGUCAGCGAGACUAAGAACCCAACAAUUCCGGACACAGCAUGAUCUUGGUUCACUACAACCUGGAUCUCCCAGAGUCAAGCAAUCCUCUCGUCUCAGUCUCCCAAGUAGCUGGAACUACAGGUGUGUGCCACCAUGCCCCACUAAUUUUUGUAUUUAUUGUAGAGACGGUUUCAGCAUGUUGCCCAGGCUGGUCUCCAACUCCUGGACUCAAGUGAUCCUCUCCACCUAGGCCUCCCACAGUGCUGGGAUUACAGGAAUGAGCCACCACGCCCGGCCUAAUUGGAAGUUUUAGAGUGCAGUGGGGAUCACGUGCGUAGAGGUUACUGCUGCCUUAAUUAAAGGAGACAACAUGUUUCAUAAAACUUGGAAAUUGUAGAGGGUGUGGGGAACCACUCAAAUUCAGAAUAUCAAAACAGAACUUUAUUUUUUGUGUAUUUGUUGCCAAUCUUUUUCCCUACAUAUGUAAUGUUUGUUUGUUUGACAUGACUACCAUUUCUGUUUUCAUAAUAUGUUUAAUACUUUUCCUCCACUUAACAAACAUGGCUACGAUUUGCCAAGUUGCUGAUCAUCCUUUUUUUUUUUUUUUCGAGACAGAGUUUCACCCUUGUUGCCCAGGCUGGAGUGCAGUGGCAGAUCUCAGCUCACUACAACCUCUGCCUGCUGGGUUCAAGUGAUUCUCCAGCCUCAGCCUCCC
rnacentral:lncRNA from 1 species